UUUGACAAAAAUUAAAAACAAAACAUGUUUUGUAGCAAAUUUGACAUUCAAGUAUAAAUCAUAAAUUACAAAGCCAAUCACAAAGUUGUAACGGAAGAGGUGCAGCUUAACAAUGGAUCUCCAAGUUGCAACGGAAGAGGUGCGGCUGUUUGGUUAGCUAUGGAUCUCCAACUCCUAGUUGCAACGAUUGCUGAUCUCCAAGUUGCAAUGGAUCUCCAAGAGGUGUGGCUUGGUCAGUGAUGGAUCUCCAAGAGUUGUGGCUUGGUCAAUCAUCAAUUUGUCACUGGAGUCUGGAGGUGAAGCUGUGGAGGAGCAAAAGAAAAGUAAAGACUAA
rnacentral:lncRNA from 1 species